CAGAUAUUAGUUUAUUAAAAUUUUAAUUUUGGAGAUUGAAGAUAAGAAGUUCUUAUAUCUGA
rnacentral:tRNA from 1 species